rnacentral:lncRNA from 1 species
UUUUUUUUUUUCGCCUGUUUUGUUUGGCGUCUGGUUCGGUUUCAAAUUAGUUCGUUGAAGGUAGCUGCUUGUUUACUUACUAGGUGCCUUAAAAAAAAAAAAAUCCCUCCCCAAGCCGUUUCCGUGAAAUCUUUAUAGAGGAAGACUUCCUUAAAUGAAGGGGCAAGUUCAGAGUGGGCCCAGGCCGAAGCUCUAGCCGUCCUAGGUGUCCCCCCCACCCCGUGAGGUCCUGCUCUCCAUCUGUAUCUACCUAAGCUAAUGACACAAUUCAGCUCUUUAUUUUCCCCUCCUCACUUUCGCGGAAAGACGUUUUUAAUUUAGCUGAAGAAUUACACAAAUGUAUUUUAAAGACAUAAAUCCAUAUAAAAAAUAUGAGCUAAUUAAAACAUUGCACUCCCUGUCGCUCAUGGAUUUUCAAUUUAGCGAAAGAAAAAAGAAUUGCAUCUGGUUAAAUGAAAAGAUGAUACUGAUGGCAGAUUGGAGUAAAUGAAAAAUAAUGUUACUCUAUAUUAAAGCACCAAAUUAUACACGUCAGGGUUGAGAUUUCGAAGGUCCCGAUGAGGGGGACAGUGCAAGGGAGAGGGGGACCGGCGAUGUGCGAGGGAGGCAAGCCAGAUCGCUUGCAUAAAAUGGAAGCAUUAAAACAGAUGACACAUUUGUUUCUUGCUGUGUUGGAGAUACGCUAGUCUCAUAGCUGACCCUGUUUCUGAAUUCUCAUUUUGCUUCCCCCGAGUGAGAGUCAGGAUGAGGAUCAAAAAAAGAAAAAUAGGGUACAUGUAUAUUUUCCCUGGAAUGCGGGUCAUCCCUUGGUUAGACACCGAAUGGUACAGGUGACUUGCCUGGCCAGGCGAGGCCGUUGCAGCCGGGGGAGCGAGGAUGCCUCCCUUCACCCCGUGGGCCGCUCCCGGGCUCCCGACUUUCAAUAUUUGCUUUGCAGCUGGAGCCUCGGAGAAGCUCAGGGGAGAGGCUUGCCGGGCUCUGGCUCUUGUGCCACUGGUACAGCCUUUUUCUGGGCUGUUCGGUGUCCACGUGGCCAGGGGUCGCACCUAAAAACCAUCAGGCAAGGCGGCAGGGAUGGGGAUGCCAAGAGGCAGAAGUAGGCAAGGAGCGUGGAGCGGUCCCGGGCUUGAGUCCACCUGCCCACUGCCCUUGUGCUGGUGGACAAGUCACGAAACCCUCCGGCUCGUGGCAAAAUCAGAAUGUCAUGGAUCGCCGCCACGCCUGGCUCGCCGAAGAAGCCACUCAGUGGGAGUGUUGCUGUCAUUUGCUAUCGUUAU